AUGAACCUGACGAAACCCAUUGGCUGUAUUCAGUACAAGCUGCCUCUGUAUGAGGGAGAGGACCCUGGUAUGUUCCUCACAUGGUGGAGGCAUGUCAUCUACAUCUAUAUCCUGCCUGGGAAGGAGUCUGCCAUUGCCUACUUCAGGGGCAAAAUGAACUAUCAGUAUUACCAGAUGAUGAUGCUCAUGGGCCGCACCCUGAAAACCAACCUAGAUGCUCUGAGGGCCUUCAAGACGUUUAUGAUGAGUAAAAUGGGGAAAAAAGCCAAGACAAAGACGCCUCCCCACGCUGAAGCCUGUGAAUUGCCCAGAGAUUCCUAACACAGGAGCAGCACCUCAGAGACUGUGUAGCAGCAGGAGUGGGGAUCCUCCAUGCACCUCCAUCUUGGCCAGAACACAGUGUGGAGAAAGGAAAAGGUGGGGCCAAGUGCCCACAUCUCUUCCAAACAGGUCUCUGCCUUAAUAAAUAUGGUCAAUGUCUCCA
rnacentral:lncRNA from 1 species